rnacentral:rRNA from 2 species
UGAGGAAUAUUGGUCAAUGGAGGCAACUCUGAACCAGCCAAGUAGCGUGAGGGAUGACUGCCCUACGGGUUGUAAACCUCUUUUGUCGGGGAAUAAACCGCAUCACGUGUGAUGCUCUGCAUGUACCCGCAGAAUAAGGACCGGCUAAUUCCGUGCCAGCAGCCGCGGUAAUACGGAAGGUCCGAGCGUUAUCCGGAUUUAUUGGGUUUAAAGGGAGCGUAGGCGGGCUGUUAAGCCAGCCGUCAAAUUGCGGGGCUCAACCCCGUAUCGCGGUUGGAACUGGCGGCCUUGAGUGGGCAAGAGGCGCGUGGAAUUCGUGGUGUAGCGGUGAAAUGCGUAGAUAUCACGAGGAACUCCGAUUGCGAAGGCAGCGCGCUGGGGCCUUACUGACGCUGAUGCUCGAAGGCGCGGGUAUCAAACAGG